AACGGUCUAUACCUGCGGUACCUGCGGAGGGAUCAUUACAGAGUUCGUGCCCUCUGGGCAGGUCUCCUACCCGUUGUUAUCACUACCACUGUUGCUUUGGCGGGCCGUCCGGCCCCGUCCGGCCGCCGGCUCCGGUUGGCGCGCGCCCGCCAGAGGCCCCCCAGACGCUAGGUAUGAGUGCCGUCCGAGUCCUUGACAAUAGUCAAAACUUUUAACAACGGAUCUCUAGAUCGGAAGAGC
rnacentral:misc_RNA from 1 species